GGAAUAUUGCGCAAUGGGCGAAAGCCUGACGCAGCGACGCCGCGUGGGGGAUGAAGGUCUUCGGAUUGUAAACCCCUUUCGGGAGGGAAGAUGAGAUGGGGUAACCCAUUCGGACGGUACCUCCAGAAGCAGCCACGGCUAACUUCGUGCCAGCAGCCGCGGUAAUACGAAGGUGGCGAGCGUUGUUCGGAUUUACUGGGCGUAAAGAGCACGUAGGCGGUUGGGUAAGCCUCUUGGGAAAUCUCCCGGCUUAACCGGGAAAGGUCGAGGGGAACUACUCAGCUAGAGGACGGGAGAGGAGCGCGGAAUUCCCGGUGUAGCGGUGAAAUGCGUAGAUAUCGGGAAGAAGGCCGGUGGCGAAGGCGGCGCUCUGGAACGUACCUGACGCUGAGGUGCGAAAGCGUGGGGAGCAAA
rnacentral:rRNA from 1 species